GACGAACCGUGCAAACGUUGUUCGGAAUCACUGGGCUUAAAGGGCGCGUAGGCGGGCAGCCAAGUCUGGGGUGAAAUCUUUCGGCUUAACCGGAAAAUUGCCUGGGAUACUGGCUGUCUUGAGGGAGGUAGGGGCAUGUGGAACUUCCGGUGGAGCGGUGAAAUGCGUAGAUAUCGGAAGGAACGCCGGUGGCGAAAGCGACGUGCUGGAUCUCUUCUGACGCUGAGGCGCGAAAGCUAGGGGAGCGAACGGG
rnacentral:rRNA from 1 species